rnacentral:misc_RNA from 1 species
UGCUCUUGAGACUGGCAGGUUCUGGUUCCCCGCUCAGGUCUAUAACCGUGAGAAUGGGCAUGUUGGGUUCAUGUUAUCUUGCUAUGAUGCUGAGCUUUGCUAUGAUCCCCAGACUGACACAUUUCAAGCCAGGUACCCGCCACAUGGAAGGGUUGCCAUGGAAAUUGGUGUGCAAUGGGAAAGGCUUAGAGCACCACCUGUUGAUACUUCUCCGCAUGAUCUGCACAUCUCUGAUUGCUUGAAUGAUUUACACCCCGGUGAUUACAUUGAGAUUCAGUGGAGAAGAAACAAAGAGUUCCCUUAUGGUUGGUGGUAUGGUGUUGUAGGUCACUUGGAGUCAUGUGAUGGGAAUGAAAAUUAUUGCCGGUGUCAUGAUAGUGACACUGUAGUUUUGGAGUUCCAUCAGUACACUCGCGGCUCGCGGUGGAGAUGUACAAUUAUCAACAGGAAUUACCAUAGAGAGGAGGGGAAUGAAGCAGAUGGAUUUUAUGGAGGAAUCAGAAAGCUAAAGAGCAAUGAAGA